rnacentral:lncRNA from 1 species
GUGUGCAAGUGGCAUUAUUGUAAUUUCUAUUUUCCUUGUAUUUUAUUUUAUUUAGCUUGGCCCUCCUUGGCUUUUUGAUGUUUCCCACAGCCAAGUGAGAAUUUGGCCGAUAUGCUCUUUGUAGGGGAGUUCCUAGUCGGCGACGGUUGGACUAAGGAACUAGUAUAGGUAAGCACAUGUACUUUAGCCCCUACUAACGUCUUACCAUCAAUAAAGAGAGGAAUUAUUCAAUCAUCUGUGUCCCGUGAGAUCAUUCCAACUUUUCAUUCGAGUGCCCGCUCGCUCUUUGAGCUCGCUCCAUAAUUAUAUAAAACUGUGUUCUUGCUUGUUGCUAGCAUCAUAUUAAUAUCGUGUGGUUUCCAUUGUUCCUUGCAAGGUGCGCACAAGGCUGACUUGCUACCUUUCAAAGGCUAGCGAGUGUCGCACGGUCCUCUUUGCACCCUCGCAAAGUCGGCCCGUGACGGGUGGUAUCAGAGCCAUCUUGGCUCGAAGGCUCACAACAUGCCGGGAGGAAUGACAAAGCAACAAAAAUUUGAUUGGUAUGACCAAAUGCUUGGUGAACUUGCGGGAGUCCCUGAUAGAUUGAUUGACAUCACCUCCACGCUAGACCGUGUCGACCUGGAUGAACUGGCGACACGAGUCAAUGACCUUGGGGAAUUGAGAGGGCGAGUUGCAGCCUUAGACCGCGUCGACCUGGAUGAGUUGGCGGCGCGAGCCAAUGACCUUGAAAGACUGAAAGGGCGAGUUACGGCCCUUGAAAAGAUGAAAGCUCCAAGACUCGAUGUAGAGACCGAGAGAGAUGGAGGUUCUGUUUCACAAGAGCAGAUGGGGGCGAUGGGUGAUGCCCUCGAAACUCUACAAGUGACUAUGGACACCAUGGCUGAGGAUGUCCGAGCCACUAUUGAUGCAUUCAAGAACGAGCUGUUGGAGAUGAUUACCAAGCUCAAUCUAGCUAUCCGGGCGAUGAGUAACCAACAUGUGACGGACUACAGGAGGGUAAAGAUCCCGGAGCCUCAAGCUUACGGAGGGGCGCGAGACGCCAAGGAGCUUGAGAAUUUUCUAUUUGAUAUGGAGCAAUACUUCCGAGCAGUGAAGCCGGAUUCAGAAGAAGCAAAAGUGGGCAUGGCGACAAUGUAUUUGUCGGGCGAUGCGAAACUGUGGUGGAGAACAAAAUACAACGACAUUCAGAGGAAUGUCUGUACCAUUGCCACAUGGGAGAACCUGAAGAAAGAGCUGAAGAUGCAGUUCUUCCCAGAGAAUGUGGACUACAUUGCAAGACGACAGUUGAGAGAGUUGAAGCACACCAACAACAUUAGAGAGUUUGUGAGCAAAUUCUCUGUGAUCAUGCUCGAUCUCCCAGAUAUGUCGGAGAAGGACCGACUAUUCUAUUUCCUCGAGGGGUUAAAGCCGUGGGCUAGAACUGAACUUCAGAGACAAAGGGUUCAAGAUUUGGCUUCUGCUCAAGCAGCAGCUGAAAGGUUGACAGACUACACUUUUGAAGAAAACCCUCCCAAAAGGACCUCAUCCUUUUCGAAUGUGAAUGCCAACAAAAGUGUGAGACCAGGACAGAGUAGAAGUGGGGGAGCGGAGUCAAACUUCUCCAGUUUCGGAGGGGGAAGGAUGACCAAUGUAAGGGAUACAGCCUCUUCCAAACCGGCUACAUCAACAGGAGUAUUUCCCCCACGGCAAUUCAACUCCGCCAGCUUCACACCAAGACCUAUAUCUUGCUUCUUAUGCAAAGGGCCUCAUAGGGUAAAUGAGUGUCCACACAAGACGGCCUUGACAGCCCUACAAGCCCACAUUUCGGCGAAGGAGUCUGAGGAACCCCAAGAGGAAGUGGAGGAACCUAGUCAGAUGGGUGCUUUGAGAUUCUUAAACGCAGUGGAAAAGCAACCACCCGUGUCCCAAGAAUCUCAGCCUAAGGGCCUAAUGUUUGUGGAUGGGAGCAUAAACGGGAAGUUGCCAAGAGUGUGAUGGUCAACACUGGCGCCACCCAUAAUUUUGUGUCUGAAACAGAAGCACGGAAGUUGGGAUUGAAGAUAGAGAAGGAUACUGGCGGCAUGAAAGCAGUCAACUCCUCACCCUUGGCCACAGUGGGGGUAUCUCGAAGAGCACAGGUGAAGCUGGGUAGUUGGGAAGGGAAGACAGACUUGGUUGUUGUAGAGAUGGACGACUUCGACGUCAUAUUAGGGAUGGACUUUUUGCUGGAACACAAAGCCAUCCCCAUUCCCAAUGCCCGAAAUUUGUUGAUCAUGAGGGAGAGACCAUGUGUAGUGUUUGCGAAGAUAGUCCCGCCAAGUGAACCCCGUCUCUUGUCUGCUCUCCAGUUCAAGUCUGCUCUCCAGUUCAAGAAAGGGGUGAAGCGACAUGAGCCUUCAUACGUCGUUGUCCCCUUGGUAAAAGACAGGGCUGAACCAGAAGUGGUGCCAAAAGAAGUUCAGGGGGUGCUGGAGAGUUACAAGGAUGUGAUGCCGGCAGACCUCCCCAAGGAGCUGCCACCGAGGAGAAACAUAGAUCAUGAGAUUGAGUUACUACCUGGUGCAAAACCACCAGCAAGGGCCCCUUACAGAAUGGCUCCGCCAGAGCUAGCAGAAUUGAGGAAGCAAUUGGGAGAUCUGUUAGAAGCAGGGUUCAUUCAGCCCUCAAAGGCUCCAUUUGGUGUGCCGGUGCUAUUCCAAAAGAAGCAUGAUGGGAGCUUGAGGUUGUGUGUAGACUACCGAGCUCUUAACAAAGUCACCGUGCGGAACAAGUACCCCAUUCCCUUGAUUGCAGAUUUGUUUGACCAGCUUAGUGGUGCCAAAUAUUUUACCAAGCUGGACCUCCGCUCGGGAUACUACCAAGUCCGCAUAGCAGAAGGAGAUGAGCCCAAGACUGCAUGUGUCACCCGAUAUGGUGCUUUUGAGUUCUUGGUGAUGCCGUUCGGGUUGACCAAUGCACCUGCCACUUUCUGCACGUUGAUGAACCAAGUCUUCCAUGGUUACCUUGACAAAUUUGUGGUGGUGUAUUUGGAUGACAUUGUGAUCUACAGUUCUACUCUGGAGGAACAUGUGGAACACCUAAGGCUAGUGUUUCAACAGUUACGAGCCCAUCAGCUGUAUGUCAAGCGUGAAAAGUGCUCCUUCGCGCAAGAUACUAUUAAGUUCUUGGGCCAUGUUAUAGAGAGGGGGGAGAUUAGGGAUGGACAUGGAGAAAGUACAAGCGAUCGAGGAGUGGCAGAGUCCCACGAAUGUGAAGGAGCUGCGUUCUUUUCUUGGACUGGCUAAUUACUAUAGGCGGUUCAUUAAGAAUUACUCAGGAAGGACAACUCCCUUGACUGACCUCUUGAAGAAGGGAGCGGUGUGGGACUGGAACGAAGACUGUGAGCAAGCCUUCAUGAACUUGAAGAAGGCUGUGAUGGAAGAUCCUGUUUUUGCCUUGCCAGACCUGAGCAAACCAUUUGAAGUGCAGACCGAUGCAUCUGACUUCGCCCUAGGGGGAGUCCUAUUACAAGAAGGGCAUCCAGUGGCGUAUGAGAGUCAUAAGCUCUCACCAGUGGAAAGGAGAUAUACAGCCCAUGAGAGAGAAAUGUUGGCUGUGAUCCACUGUUUGAGGACUUGGAGGCACUAUUUGCUAGGGGCAAAUUUUACUGUGAAGACAGACAACUCUGCAGUUAGUCAUUUCCUGACACAACCGAAGUUGACCUCAAAGCAAGCUCGGUGGCAAGAGUUUCUCGCCGAGUUCGACUUCCAAUUUGAGCACAAAGCAGGGUACACCAAUCAAGUUGCGGACGCCCUAAGCCGCAAGGCCAACCUUGCGGCCCUUCGAAACCUGGCGACUUUGUCAGGCAGUGGAGUUGCCACUGACAUUAAGGAAAGAGUAAAGGCUGGUUUGGAGAAAGAUCCCGUGGUUCAAGGCCUCGUGAAGCUAGUGCGAGAAGGGAAGAGCCGCAGAUUCUGGUUGGAGGACGGCUUGUUAAAGACAAAAGGAGGAAGAACAUAUCUUCCCCGGGUGGAUGGAUUGCGAAGAAUGUUGAUGAGAGAGUGCCAUGACACCUUGUGGGCAGGGCAUCCCGGGUGGCACAGAACCUAUGUCCUCCUGAAACAGAGUUACUACUGGCCGCAGAUGCGAGACGAUGUGAUGGAAUACACCAGGACGUGUCUCAUCUGCCAACAAGACAAGGUAGAGCGACAGAAGACAGCGGGGUUGCUGGAGCCGCUGGCAACACCCACUCGUCCGUGGGAGAGUGUCUCCCUCGAUUUCAUUACCAAUCUCCCGAAGGUUGGGGAAAUAUCUGGAAUCCUGGUCGUGGUGGACAGGUUCUCGAAGUAUGCAACAUUUGUUCCAACAUCGAAGCAUUGCUCGACAGAAGACACAGCGAGUCUCUUCUUCAAACAUGUGGUGAAGUAUUGGGGAGUACCACAGAAUAUCGUUAGUGAUCGAGACCCUAGGUUCACAGGGUCGUUUUGGACAGAGUUGUUCAAGCUACUGGGGUCUGAACUCAACAUCUCCUCAAGUUAUCACCCUUAGACGGAUGGGCAGACUGAGAGAUUCAAUGCAAUGUUGGAAGAAUACUUAAGGAACUUUGUUCAUGCAAAUAUGAAGAAUUGGGUGGAGUUACUGGAUGUGGCCCAGUUCUGUUUCAAUUCGAAGAAGAGUUCAGUCACCAACAAGAGCGCGUUUGAAGUGGUGACUGGCCAGCAACCACUCUUGCCUCAUACUGUGCAGGAGGUAUACAAGGGGAAAAACCCGCGGGCUUUCAACUUCACCAAAGAGUGGAAAGCCAACGCGGACAUUGCUCGAAGUUACUUGGAGAAAGCGGCGAAGAGAAUGAAGAAGUGGGCAGAUCAGAGUCGCAAACCCCGAGAGUUCCGAGAAGGAGACAUGGUGCUCGUGAAGCUGCUCCCUGAACAGAUCAGGAAUAUGCGCUCCACAGACAAGCGGUUGUUCAGGAGGUAUGAAGGCCCACUUCCAGUCCUUUCGAAAGUGGGGAAGUGCUCUUACAAAGUCGACAUCCCUGCCUGGAUGAAAGUUCACCCUGUCUUCCAUGUCAGCAACCUCAAACCUUACCAGUCUGAUGCAGAAGAUCAAGCCCACAACCAGCCUACUCGACAGCAUGUGGAGCUCAAGACACACAAACCAAAGGAGGUAGAGGAGAUUCUGGCCGAGAGAGUAGUUGACAAGUUAGAGCAGGGGCGGGGAGACCGCCUAGUUACAGUGCGCCAACAGCAGUACUUAGUGAAGUGGAAGAAGAUGGGCGAGGAAGAGAUCUGUUGGGAGAAUGCCGAAGCCCUGAAGAAGUUCAAGCAGAAGAUUGAAGAUUUCAAACUAAGUUCAACCCCAAGGCAGUCGUCGAGAGCGCCGACAGCUUAAGUGGGGGAGGAUGUUAGGGCCAAGACAUGUAAUGCCACAAGCAACCUUGCCCAGGGGCAUGAGUCAAGCCCAUGGUUGGUUGCUUGUGUGCAAGUGGCAUUAUUGUAAUUUCUAUUUUCCUUGUAUUUUAUUUUAUUUAGCUUGGCCCUCCCUGGCUUUUUGAUGUUUCCCACAGCCAAGUGAGAAUUUGGCCGAUAUGCUCUUUGUAGGAGAGUUCCUAGUCGGCGACGGUUGGACUAAGGAACUAGUAUAGGUAAGCACAUGUACUUUAGCCCCUACUAACGUCUUACCAUCAAUAAAGAGAGAAAUUAUUCAAUCAUCUGUGUCCCGUGAGAUCAUUUCAACUUUUUAUUCGAGUGUCCGCUCGCUCUUUGAGCUCGCUCCAUAAUUAUAUAAAACCGUGUUCUUGCUUGUUGCUAGCAUCAUAUUAAUAUCGUGUGGUUUCCAUUGUUCUUUGCAAGGUGCGCACAAGGCUGACUUGCUACCUUUCAAAGGCUAGCGAGUGCCGCACGGUCCUCUUUGCACCCUCGCAAAGUCGGCCCGUGACACCACGGCUCACUGAAAAUAG